rnacentral:misc_RNA from 1 species
GAUGAAGAACGCAGCGAAAUGCGAUAAGUAAUGUGAAUUGCAGAAUUCAGUGAAUCAUCGAAUCUUUGAACGCAUCUUGCGCUCCUUGGUAUUCUGAGGAGCAUGCCUGUUUGAGUGUCAUUAAAUUCUCAACUACACUGACUUUGAAUUGGUGUGGCUUGGAUUUGGGGGGAAAAUUGUUGUGGGCUUUUUGUAUAGUCUGCUCCCCUGAAAUUGAUUAGCGGUAUCUUUGUGGAACUGUCUACAGGUGUGAUAAUUAUCUACAUCUUAGACAUCUGCUGGAAUGCUGCUUUCUAAACCUUACUUGUAUUGACAAUCUUGACCUCAAAUCAGGUAGGACUACCCGCUGAACUUAAGCAUAUCAAUAAGCGGAGGA